rnacentral:rRNA from 1 species
GAUGAACGCUGGCGGCAUGCCUUACACAUGCAAGUCGAACGGCAGCACGGGAGCAAUCCUGGUGGCGAGUGGCGAACGGGUGAGUAAUAUAUCGGAACGCGCCCAGUCGUGGGGGAUAACGUAGCGAAAGCUACGUUAAUACCGCAUACGAUCUAUGGAUGAAAGCGGGGGAUCGCAAGACCUCGCGCGAUUGGAGCGGCCGAUAUCAGAUUAGGUAGUUGGUGGGGUAAAAGCCUACCAAGCCUUCGAUCUGUAGCUGGUCUGAGAGGACGACCAGCCACACUGGAACUGAGACACGGUCCAGACUCCUACGGGAGGCAGCAGUGGGGAAUUUUGGACAAUGGGCGCAAGCCUGAUCCAGCAAUGCCGCGUGCAGGAUGAAGGCCU